rnacentral:rRNA from 1 species
UGGGGAAUAUUGGACAAUGGGCGAAAGCCUGAUCCAGCCAUGCCGCGUGUGUGAAGAAGGUCUUCGGAUUGUAAAGCACUUUAAGUUGGGAGGAAGGGCAUUAACCUAAUACGUUAGUGUUUUGACGUUACCGACAGAAUAAGCACCGGCUAACUCUGUGCCAGCAGCCGCGGUAAUACAGAGGGUGCAAGCGUUAAUCGGAAUUACUGGGCGUAAAGCGCGCGUAGGUGGUUUGUUAAGUUGGAUGUGAAAUCCCCGGGCUCAACCUGGGAACUGCAUUCAAAACUGACUGACUAGAGUAUGGUAGAGGGUGGUGGAAUUUCCUGUGUAGCGGUGAAAUGCGUAGAUAUAGGAAGAAACACCAGUGGCGAAGGCGACCACCUGGACUAAUACUGACACUGAGGUGCGAAAGCGUGGGGAGCAAACA